rnacentral:lncRNA from 10 species
UCUCAAAAAAUAAAAAUAAAAAAUUGCCCUACUAACGUAGCUUUUUUUUUUAAGUGGUUUCUUUUUCUCUCUUAAGAUUUAUCUUUCUAUUUCUCUUUUAUUUAAAGUAAUAGUAGUCUGGGCACGGUGGUUCACACCUGUAAUCCCAGCAUUUUGGGAGGCUGAAGCAGGAGGAUCACUUGAGUCCAGGUGUUGGAGACCUGUCUGGGCAACAUGGUGAGACCCUGUCUCUACAAAAAAAUAAAAACAUUAACUGG